rnacentral:rRNA from 1 species
UACGAAGGGGGCGAGCGUUGUUCGGAUUUACUGGGCGUAAAGGGCGCGUAGGCGGCGCGAGAAGUCGAGUGUGAAAGCCCCGGGCUCAACCUGGGAAUUGCGUCCGAUACUGGAUGGCUUGAAUCCGGGAGAGGGAUGCAGAAUUCCAGGUGUAGCGGUGAAAUGCGUAGAUAUCUGGAGGAAUACCGGUGGCGAAGGCGGCAUCCUGGACCGGCAUUGACGCUGAGGAGCGAAAGCCAGGGGAGCAAACGGG